rnacentral:rRNA from 1 species
GCUUAACACAUGCAAGUCGAGCGGGGGAAGGUAGCUUGCUACUGGACCUAGCGGCGGACGGGUGAGUAAUGCUUAGGAAUCUGCCUAUUAGUGGGGGACAACAUCUCGAAAGGGAUGCUAAUACCGCAUACGUCCUACGGGAGAAAGCAGGGGAUCUUCGGACCUUGCGCUAAUAGAUGAGCCUAAGUCGGAUUAGCUAGUUGGUGGGGUAAAGGCCUACCAAGGCGACGAUCUGUAGCGGGUCUGAGAGGAUGAUCCGCCACACUGGGACUGAGACACGGCCCAGACUCCUACGGGAGGCAGCAGUGGGGAAUAUUGGACAAUGGGCGCAAGCCUGAUCCAGCCAUGCCGCGUGUGUGAAGAAGGCCUUAUGGUUGUAAAGCACUUUAAGCGAGGAGGAGGCUACUUUAGAUAAUACCUAGAGAUAGUGGACGUUACUCGCAGAAUAAGCACCGGCUAACUCUGUGCCAGCAGCCGCGGUAAUACAGAGGGUGCAAGCGUUAAUCGGAUUUACUGGGCGUAAAGCGCGCGUAGGCGGCUAAUUAAGUCAAAUGUGAAAUCCCCGAGCUUAACUUGGGAAUUGCAUUCGAUACUGGUUAGCUAGAGUGUGGGAGAGGAUGGUAGAAUUCCAGGUGUAGCGGUGAAAUGCGUAGAGAUCUGGAGGAAUACCGAUGGCGAAGGCAGCCAUCUGGCCUAACACUGACGCUGAGGUGCGAAAGCAUGGGGAGCAAACAGGAUUAGAUACCCUGGUAGUCCAUGCCGUAAACGAUGUCUACUAGCCGUUGGGGCCUUUGAGGCUUUAGUGGCGCAGCUAACGCGAUAAGUAGACCGCCUGGGGAGUACGGUCGCAAGACUAAAACUCAAAUGAAUUGACGGGGGCCCGCACAAGCGGUGGAGCAUGUGGUUUAAUUCGAUGCAACGCGAAGAACCUUACCUGGCCUUGACAUAGUAAGAACUUUCCAGAGAUGGAUUGGUGCCUUCGGGAACUUACAUACAGGUGCUGCAUGGCUGUCGUCAGCUCGUGUCGUGAGAUGUUGGGUUAAGUCCCGCAACGAGCGCAACCCUUUUCCUUAUUUGCCAGCGAGUAAUGUCGGGAACUUUAAGGAUACUGCCAGUGACAAACUGGAGGAAGGCGGGGACGACGUCAAGUCAUCAUGGCCCUUACGGCCAGGGCUACACACGUGCUACAAUGGA